rnacentral:lncRNA from 1 species
CCGAGUAUCAGCUAUUAGAAGUGGAUUUCAGCGAAUCCAUGAACCGAUCUUCUCCAGAAAUAUUCAUGGGAUUCAAGAUGAAUGUCUUAGCUUUCAAGAAAGCCUAAAAUCAGAAGAAUUGGUCAAGGGAUAACAAAGAUACAAUCAAUUUCCCAAAACCGGCCAAACCGACAUCAAUUAUAGAAAGUUGCCAACCUCUUCAAUUUGGCUCGAACCAAACAUUUCUUUGGAAGCCAGGAGAUCAUAUCAUCCAUCCAGAAGACAUCCAAGACGUUCUUAGAUGUACCAACACCCAGAGGGUCAGGCGGAUCUUUAUUUACUUCAACUUGUCUUAUUUGGACUCUCAAGCAUUAAAACUCCAACAGCUCUUUUUCUUUCAGUCUAUGCACGACAUCAGCAUUUUACAGACCAUAAAGAAGAUUCACAGGAAGCUCACUUACCCCCUCAAACCGUCCAGAUACAAGGAGAACACCAUCUACAUUCAUUUGGCCAAUAUUCUCAUCAUUAAGCCUCCAACAGCUAGUUUUCAUGGAGCCAUCAAUUCCUUUGCUUCUAAGUUUAUUAUUUCGACUUUAUUAGUUUCCUUUUAUCAUUUUUAGACUGUUAGAGAGUCCUAAGGUUGAGCCUAUAUAAGCUCAAUUAGUUUGUGUUGUAAAUCAGUACUAUGGGUGGGCAAAAACACCAAACCGAACCGAACCGAACCGAUCAAACCGAAGUUAAACCGAACCAAACCAAACCAUGAUUUUUACAUAACCCAAUUGGUUCAUGUUUACUCAACCCGAAUGAUUUGGUUUGGUUUGGUUUUAAACCGAACCAAACCGAUAAUCCAAUAUGUUUAUCUAUUAAUAAACAAUAGAUAUAUAUGUAUACUAACAUUGUGAAUUUAUUUAGUUACAGUUUUGUUUUUUUUUUGCCUUACCUUCUAUAUUUUUAUAAGUUCACAAUUAUGAAGCAAACAUCCCCUAGACUAUAUUUGCGAAGUGAUUUAUACACAUGUCGUCACUACAAUCAUUCUCGCUGAAAAAAAGAUGACAUGACACUUAAAAUAGAUGACAUGGUUUUAGAAAAUAGUGACAUGGCAUCAUAUUAAUUGUGAGAUGUAAAAUUUUCUUAUAAAAAUUUAAAUUUUUUUGCAAAGAUUUUAAAUAUGGUAAUAAAAAUAACUCAUAUAUCAUCAUUAAUGUCAAUUUUCCAUAUAAAUAAUUAUUUACGGUAAACUAUUAAAUAUAUUAAUAAUUGAUAUAUCACAAUUAAAAUAAUAAUAUAUAUGUAUCUCACAUUAAUAAAAAUAAACUAAAUAAAGUUACACUAAUCCAAAAAAAAUUGAUAGUUAAAUAUUUAAACAUUAUUUAAAUUUAUCUGUUCAUCUUCAUCGUUUAAAUUAACAAAAAUAUUUUUCAGUUUAACUAAAACAAACAAAGUCUCAAAUUUAUUAGAAUUUAUAUUUAUAUGAAAUCUCACAUUAAUAAAAAUAAACUAAAUAAAGUAACACUAAUCCAAAAAAAAAUUGAUAGUUAAAUAUUUAAACAUUAUUUAAAUUUAUCUGUUCAUCUUCAUCAUUUAAAUUAACAAAAAGAUUUUUCAGUUUAACUAAAACAAAAAAAGUGUCAAAUUUAUUAGAAUUUAUAUAUAUAUAUAUAUAUAUGUAUAUAUUUAAAAUUAGAUGGGAAGGUAUAUAUAUAUAUUUAAAAUAAAUAAUCAUUAAACACAAUAAUAUAAUUAAAACUAUUUUUAUAAAAUCUAAUUUUAUCUUUAUUAAAAUUUAAAUAAAAUAAAAUUUAAAUAGUUAUACCAAAUCACAAGAAAUAAGAUUACAAAAAUACGUUUAUGAUUUUUUAUAACAAUUUAAGUUAAAAUAUAAAUUAAUAAUGUUGAAAUAUAAAUCAAAAUUUUCUUUUGAAAUAAAAAAUAUGUUAAAAAUUACUAUUUCUGCGCAUGGCGCAGGAAAAAUCCUAGUUACUAUUAUAUAUACUCUAAUUCUAAUCCUAAUACGUAAUACCUAAAAAUCGUAUUAAAAGCAAAACCUAAAAACUAUAAGCAUCUAAAGUUGUCGCCGUCUCUCUUAUUCAUCAUAUAUUCCCCAAUUUCCGUUGUCUAAACGUAAGGUUAUCUAACAUAAGUUCUUCUAGAAUCAAUAAAGACGAAAGCAGAUGAAAAUAGUCUAUUAGUUAAACGGUUUUGGAAGGCUUACAAGUCUUUGUUACCAACAUAUUAAUAACCAAAAAGAACUACACCGAAAACCAAACCAUAAUAAAGUGAACCGAACUAAAUCUAAACCAAACCGAACUAAACCGAACCAAAAUAAACCCAAACCGAACCGAUAUUCCCGUACAUGCGCCGACUAUACGUUAUACGCAACUUUGGUGUACAGAAUUUUAUAGUUCGGUUAAUUUAGACGCUGACAUGUUUUGGAAGCUUUAGCUUGAAUUAAAAAGACCAAUUAAGACAAUUACUUUACUUUAGGUUUGUGAUUCCAUAUUUUGUAGGAACGUGUAGUCUCUCCUUUUUUCACCCAUCUUUUUACCAUUGCAGAAUAUAAAAGUUUAGAUGUUGUAUUUUAUUGUCCUGAAUGUUUUUUUUAUAAUGAAAUUCUUUAUUUUACAUCCAGUUUCUACAAAAAAAAAGAUCUUAGUAUAUAUUUGAAAUUUUACUCUUUAUUUAAAUUAGAAAAUAUUUAGAACUAUACAAAUUUAUGUGAUAUAUUUAAGAUUUAUCACUAUAAUCACCAAAUAUUCUAUUUUUCUUUCUAGAAUAUUUUCCGUAUAUACCCCGCAUAAACAUCCGUAUAUACAAUUAAGUGUUAUACGGUAGUUCACCGCCCGACCAGCGUAUAGCGUAUUUUAUAAGAUUGGUCAAAACUAUUGUUCUAAGUCUUUUGAGUGUGUGAGAAGCGACUCUGGAGCAAUCUGAUUUAUCAAGGAUCUCUUCCAUAGAUCUUUGUGGUGUCCAUCAAUCCAUUUCUACCACUAACCGAUCUUGAGAGUGAUACACAUCCAGCAAUACCGGUUCCAUCUUCAUUCAUCUUCCAUCCAUCGAUCCUUGUUGAGAGUAAUACACAUCCAGCAACAAAGAUCUCAUCUCCAUCUAUCAUCAUUUACUUUGUUUUCAUACCAAUAGAAUAGCAUUCAUUUCGCCCAUCAUUCUGAUUCAUAUUCAUAUUUAUUUUUAUUCACAUCUAAAAUCAUAAAAACUCAUAAGAACCUCUUCUCUUUGUUUUCAGGUUGUAGCCUUGGAUCCAUCAUCUAUCAAUUCGUGGGUUACCCCCCCCCCCAUAUGCCUACAACAUUUUGGUUUCAGAGCUUAAGUUCAUGAAUCAGGUGAUAUCUAUACUUGCAUCAUAUUUCAUUUGCUUGCAUUUUAUAAAUCGAAAACCCCAUAAAAACUAUCUUUUGUUUCAAGUUUUGUUUCUGCAUUUCAUUUAUGUUCUUGCUGUUCAUCACUUUUAUAACCAGAAAAGAAAAAUAAAGAAGAAGGAGUUAGAUAGUUUGAUCCACGAAAAUUCAAAAAAAAAAAAAUAGUCCUAGUUGUUUGAAUUCAUUAGUUUCCAUAAAAAGAAAAGCCAUAAAAAUCUGCGUUUAAGUUGUUUCAUUUUUGUUUGCAUUGCAUAUCAAGUAAAAAUUAAAAGCCAAAAAGAAUCAUUCCCAUAAUAUUUCUCAUACCAUAUUUUAGCUUUCUAUUUCGUGCCUGCAUUCAAAAAACGAGAAAAAAAAAUAUUUUAAAGCUUAGAUUAUAUCAUUUGCAUAUUGUGGUUUGAUUGUUUCAUUAUAAGAAAAUCCAAAAAAAUCAUUGUUAGUUUUUCUUUCCAUAUUUCAUUCCAUAGUUCAUUACAUUUGUGUUUAUUAUCAUAUCAUAUAGUCGAAAUUGCAUUCAGUAAACCAAAGAAAAAUAUUGUAUCUUAGUUUAUAUCAUUUGUCGGUCCAUAUUUUCAUAUUUCUCGGUUUAGUAAAAUAGUUUGCAUUAUUUCAUUGUUCUUGCUCGACCAUCAAUUCCCUUAUUUUCACUUGAUCUUUGAGAGUGUUUUCAGGAAGAAAUGGGAGAGGCAGCACACAACCAAGAUCUGAUGGCAACUAUUCAAAAGAUAAAGGCCCAAUUGGAUCGGUUGGAAGAAAGAAACAAUCCGGUCAGAAAUCAGGCACAAGGCCAACGACCACAAAAGAGAAAAUAUAGUUCUGGAGAUGCACCUGAGACUGAUAAUGUUGAGCCAAAACCACCAGACCCCUCAUGGACAGUUCCAUAUAGUACACCAAUCGGCCAAAAGAGGGAAGUAAUCAAAAGUUGUGCUUAUACAUCUGACACCUUAGUGUUUUCAGGUUUAAGCAGGAACUCAGAGGUGUAUCUAAUAUGGGAAAUGAACAUGUAUAAGUGGCUAUGGUCCAAAAAAAUUCCCAAGGACAAGAGGCUGACGCAAGCUGUCCAAGCCUUUACCCAAAAUGCCUACCAAUGGUGGUUAAAAGAAAGCACUCAACAAGUGUUAGAUUGGAGAGACCUUAAGGUCCGAAUGUACAAGGAGUUUGUAGAGAAGUUCCAACACCACACAGCUCCAAAUAAUUACGUGCUAGUGACCAUGAAGGAGACUAAAAGCCUCGGCCCCUACAUGUUGUGCAAGCCAACUCCAAAACCGGAACAUGAAGGUGUUCUAAGUAAAGAAUAAGGUAAGUGUCAUACUUGAUAAUUUGGUUUAUAAAUCAUCUCCCACUGGUAUGAGUCAUUUGUCUUUUUCCAAGAAUGCUAAGACAGGUCUUGAGGUCCAACAAAAACCGACCUCCACAUCCUUGUUGGAAGCAAAAGUUCUCAAAGAAUUUUGUCCAAGGAACAAGGACAUUUUAAACCCAAAAUAGGAGGAAACAUCAAGCCAAGGUAAGUCUUCUAAUUCUAAAAUUAUGAAAGAUCAUACAUGUUUUAGAUGUCAUAAAAUAAGACACCUUUCUGUAGCUUCCAACUAAACAAGUAUUGAAAGAAACAUCACUAGAAAAUAAAACUGAACUGUUUAAAAUGAGUGAUAGUUUUAUUCAAUCUGAUUUGUUGGUUCCAAAUUAUUUUAUAAUGUACUUGUCUUUGUCAAAGAGUGUUGUAACAGGAAUUAAAGAGCAUGAGUUCAAAGGAGAGAAACCACCAGGCGCCACCCUUGUGAUGGACCAGAAGAUGGUUCAAGACACAAUGCAGUCCAUGUUGCUUAGAGAAGCAAAACCAGUCAUAAGAGUAUCCCACCAAGGUAAGUGUCUAACACUACCUUUAGAUACUAGUACUGGCGUGUGUGUUCUUGGUGUAGGGAGCAAAAAUGAAAGCUAUACGCUUACUAAAGUUCCAAAGAAGGAACCACACCAUAAGCUCAGUCAUGAACCACCUCACAAGUGGAAACCAAAAUCUGAACAAUGGAUUGUUCUAAUGGUAAGGUUCAUUUUAGAUCAACAUGUUCUUAAUAUUUCCAUGACAAGAUUAAUGCACUUGUCUUGUCCAAAAGAAUGUGAAACAGGUUUAGAAAACCAGAGAGAGUACACGGCCCAAAGAAAAAAUACAUCAACCAUGAUGUUAUCGGUUGCUGAUCAGAAACUAGGCCAAAGAGAUGCUGAACCAUUGCCAUACAAAUUCAGCCUAAGGAAGGUAAAGUUUCUCUGAUAUUAAAACGGUCAUGACACUUGAUUAUCCAGGUAUAAUGCACUUGUCUUUUCCAGAAAGUUUUGAUCCAGGAAUAAAGAAAAGAGAAGAACCUCUAAACCGAGAUCAAAAGUUUCAGCUACACAACACAAGUUGUCCAAAGAAGAAAAUCAUUCUUCAACUUGUGGAUGCUAUCAAAGUAAGUCUGGAGCUUUCACAUUAUGUUUAUCAGUGUCUAAAUACAGAUAUAAUGCACUUUCUUUUUGUCCAGAAUGUUGACAUUGUUUCAGGUUACAGAGAAGAAAGCUUCAAAGAAAUCCCAUCGGAUAAUCUUUUGUUGCUAGAAGAAUCAGCCCCAAGGAUGGUCAGAAACGAGGCUAUGAAAAUACUAAAGGACCAUCAACUCAAAAAGAUCUACAAGGACCAUGUCCAGAGCAUAGGCGUGAUCAUAUCUUAUCUGCUCAAAGGAGAACCAUCUGAUACACCACCCACUCAAAGGAGAACCAUCUGAUACACCACCCACUCCCAAACCGAAACAAUACCAAGGUAAGGUUCUUGAACUCAAAAGAGAAUAAAAUCUGAUUUGCUCUAUCUUGGUGCAGGUUAUACAGUUUCGAGGUCGAAACCUUGUCAAGAGGGAGGGGAUGUUGUAGUCCUAAAAUCCGUGGCUCAACCAGAGUCUCACCAAACCUUCCAAACCGGCCACCUAGGAGAUACAAGCGACAGAGGUUCAGUCCAAGGCGCAUAUAUCAACAACCAUAAGGAAUUUUGGCAUGAAACCAAUUUUAACAGAAGGAGAACUCAAAUAUUCAUCAUUGAGGCUUGAAAUUACAAGAAACUAUUCACGGAGGAAGAAGUUAUGGAUUUUACAAACUGGAGGUUUUCGAGUCCGUCCAGUUCUAAGUAUCAGCCAUUAGAAGUGGAUUUCAGCCCAGCCAUGAAGCGGCUUUCAUAGGCUUCAAGAUGAAUGUCUUAGCUUUCCAAAAAUCUAAAAUCAGAAGAAUUGGUCAAGGGAUAACCAAGAUGCAAUCAAUUUUUCAAAACCGGCCAAACCGACAUCAAUUAUGAAAUAUUGCCAACCUCUUCAAUUUGGCUCGAACCAAAC